CAGUAGCCGCGGGAAAACGGAGGGUGCAGGCGUUAAUCGGAAUUACUGGGCGUAAAGCGCACGCAGGCGGUUUGUUAAGUCUGCUGUGAAAUCCCCGGGCCCAACCUGGGAAUGGCAGUGGAUACUGGCAAGCUAGAGUGUGUCAGAGGAUGGUGGAAUUCCCGGUGUAGCGGUGAAAUGCGUAGAGAUCGGGAGGAACAUCAGUGGCGAAGGCGGCCAUCUGGGACAACACUGACGCUGAGGCACGAAAGCGUGGGGAGCAAACAGGAUUAGAUACCCGCGUAGUCCCUGUCUCUUAUAC
rnacentral:rRNA from 1 species